AUGAACUACAGAGGCAAGGGCAAUGUUGAUAAGUGGCUCCAUAUGCUCAUGGACGACCAACAAGAAGGAAAUGAAGCGGCAUACCGUUCCUCAGAAGAUUACAAUGCCACCGAGAAGAACGGUUCGGACGAUGAGCAAGAAAUUCAAAGCAGAAUCGACGAUGACGAGAGCUGCAGGAAUGAGAUCACCGAAUGUGUUGAUGAGAUCACUGAAAGUGUUGACAAGAUCGUCGACGUCGGCGGCACCCCAAGAUGCAGGGAUAGCUUUGACAUCAAGGAGGAGAAAGUGGAAAGGAAGAUCUGGUUCCCGAGGUCCGACAGCGGUAGGGGUUUCCGGUCCCUGCCAUCCUCUCCUUCCAAGAUCCUGGGAAUGAGAAGCAGGAAACCUAAGGUGGGUCGCGACGAUGAUCACAGAUACGGCUACGAGGAUUCUGUAUCUACGAGCAGCAGCAAGUUCCUCAGCAAAUGCAAGCAGGCGAUCAAGAAAACGGUACACAAAUGA
rnacentral:rRNA from 1 species